ensembl:lncRNA
AUGUAUGACCCCGCACCGUAUACAGCUGCAAUGGGAGCUCUGCAAGACAAAUAUGGCCAGCCAAGACAACUGGUUCAAAGUGAACUAGCGGCAAUACUCAACUCCCCAGCCAUUAAGUCAGGAGACGCAGAGGCAUUCGACUCCUUCGCUCUCUCAGUCCAGUCGCUGGUCGGUAUGCUGCGCACUUUAGAGGGACCAGUUGGAUACGAGCUCAGGUGUGGUUCUCAUGUUGACCGUCUCUUAAGCAAAAUGUCUCCUUCCCACAGAGAUGGAUUUGUGGAAUAUUGUCUCAUUCACGGCAUCCUGCAGCCAGGUUCAGAGCUCACCUACUCCCUGCCCGACCUUGCUGCGUGGUUGCAGAUGAAGGCUCAAGCCAAGCGUCUUGCCAGUCGAGCUACUCUUCUCUACAAUUCUACAGGGCCUACCCUUCCAAAGAGAGAUCAACGUAGUUUAAAGCCCAAAGAUAAAAUAGCGUCAGUCUUCCUCUGCUCUGGUGAGACAGCCAACAAGGAGACCUUUCAUGCGAAGUCCCAAGCUUUCAAACUCAGUCCUUAUUGUCCGUUCUGCAACAAUAAGGAGCACUACCUUAACUCAUGCCCCGACUUUAAGAAAAUGUCUAAUGCUGAGAUUAAGAAGUGGAUCCAGGAAGGCGACAGAUGUUGGAAAUGCGGCCGCGGCCACAAAGCUACAGCCUGCACACUUAAACGCCCCUGUAAGAUUUGCAAAGAGAAACACCUUACAGUCCUCCAUGACGCCAUUCAAGAGUCAUCCCAGAAAGUGCUGAUGGUCAGUAAUCCGAAGCCCAUUGUCUACAUUGAGCAGCCCCGAAGCCCUCAGAGAGUGUUGCUGAAGGUUGUCAAAGUGCUCCUGCAUCAUGGAGAUCGCACUCUUGAGACAUUUGCAGUGCUCGAUGAUGGUUCGGAAAGAACGAUUAUCCUCCCACAAGCUGUAGAGCAACUACAACUCUCUCAGCAUCCAGAGACGCUUCAUCUGAGGACAGUCCAGCAAGAGGUGAAAGAACUGAAAGGUUCCUCAGUUAGCUUUCAUGUAUCCCCCAUCUUCAAGCCAAAAAAGAAGUUUUGGAUUCAACAUGCGUUCACUGCAAGCAGUCUGAGUUUAUCUGAACACACAUACCCAGUAGCAGCUCUCCAGAAGUGCUAUGAGCAUCUCAAAGGACUUCCUUUGACGCCUAUCCACAGAGCCCAACCUCUGCUCCUCAUCGGCUCUGAUAUGCCUCAGCUUCUUACUCCUACACAGCCAGUCAGAGCAGGUCCAUCUGGCGGUCCUAUAGCCAUCUGCACAAGGCUAGGCUGGUCCUUGCAAGGUCCUUCUGACAUCAUACCAGUCUCUUCUCACCAGUCUUCCUGUCUGCACAUCGCCACCGAGUCUUCAUAUACUGAACUCCUCAGGAAUGUGGAACGUCUUUGGCACAUUGACACAGUCCCCUACGUCAGUGAGAAGACUGCAACGCGUUCCAAGCAAGACCAACAGGCACUCAGACUCUUACAGACAGCCUCCGAACGUGUAUCUGUGGAUGGUACCCAGCGCUACGCUACUCCACUGUUGCGUCGUCAGCCAGUCAUCCGCCUUUGUGCACAGCAAAAUGCUGUGAUGCCUAACCUACGCAGCACUGAGCGCCGGUUGGCUAAGGACACCGUUCGAGCAGCCUCAUACUGCAAGGAGAUGGAUAAACUUAUUCAGUCUGGUUAUGUCGCGGAAAUCUUUACAGAAGAGGCAGCAAAGUCCACAGAGUCGUGGUAUGUACCUCAUCAUAUGGUGCACCACAAUGGAAAGGACAGAGUAGUAUUUAACUGUUCCUUCUCCUUUAACGGCCUGUCCCUGAAUGACCAACUCCUGCCGGGACCAACGCUCGGUCCGACCAUGAUUGGAGUCCUGAUGCGGUUUCGAUGUCAUGCUGUGGCCAUCAGCGGAGAUAUUAAGUCGAUGUUCCACCAGAUCCGCUUGUUGCCCAGUGAUAAACCACUCCUACGAUUCCUGUGGCGUGACAUGCAGAGGACAUCUGAACCACGCAUAUUCCAAUGGGAGGUGUUACCAUUCGGAACAACGUGCAGCCCCUGUUGUGCAGUCUUUGCCCUGCAGCAGCACGUCAGAGACCACGAACCACCAGACUCUCCUCUCAUGCAUGUGAUCGAGCACUCGUUCUAUGUCGACAAUUGCCUCCACAGUGUGAGUAAAGCUGAGGAUGCCAAGGUUCUAGUCGAUGAUCUGCGAGCACUUCUGAACAAGGGAGGUUUCGAGAUCCGGCAAUGGGCUAGUAACAUGCCUGAAGUUGUAGCACAUCUACCUCCUGAGGCGCAGUCGGCUAGCAGUGAGCUAUGGCUAUCCAAGGCCAGUGACAACCUCCAAGAGCCCACGCUUGGACUCUGCUGGGACUGUCUGAACGACACCCUGAGUUACAAACAUCGCCAUACUGAAUCUUUAGACGCUACUCUUCGUAACGUCUACAGUGUCCUUGCCAAGCUUUACGACCCAUUGGGCUACAUUGUGCCAUUUACAACAAGAUGUAAAGUGCUGGUUCAGGACAUGUGGAAGGCCAACAUUGGCUGGGAUGACAAGAUCCAACCUGCUGACCUUCUGGAGAAAUGGUUGAAUUGGGUGCAGGAAAUUCCCACUUUGCAACAUCUCAAGCUGCCUCGUCCCUAUGCACCAGCCACCGCCGAUAUUGCCAGCGCAACCCGUCACAUCCACAUUUUCUGUGAUGCCUCGGAGCGCGCCUAUGGGUCAGUAGCUUACAUGCAGACGACAGAUGACAGUCAACGAGUCUAUGUCUCCUUCGUGUUUGCCAGAUCGAGAGUCGCGCCCCGUAAGCAGAUGUCUAUUCCGCGUCUCGAGCUCAGUGCCGCGCUUACAGGUGCACAGCUGGCUAGAGUGAUCGAGACAGAGCUUGCAGUACCACCUGAGCACAUCACUCUUUGGUCAGACUCCACAACUGUACUGCAUUGGAUCAAAUCAGAAUCCUGCCGUUACAAAGUGUUCGUUGGAACACGAGUCGCAGAAAUCCAGAACCUGACCAAUCCUGUUCAAUGGCGGUAUGUUGAUACUCUAAGCAAUCCAGCUGAUGAUAUAACCCGCGGACUCACACAAGAAAUGGUACAGGAUCAUCGCUGGAACAAAGGUCCACAUUUCCUCCAUUUGUCUGAGAGGGAGUGGCCCAGCAUGCCUUCAUCUGAGGUAGAACCAGACACCACAGAGUUAAGGAAGUCUGCCUUCAUGGGAACUAUGUCCAGCAUCUUGCCAACACAACUUCCGGACCCCAGUAAGUUCUCCAACUGGAAAGAGCUUCUUAAGGAAACUGCUAGCUCCAUUCACGGGCCUCUGAUGCUAAUACUACAGUACACUUUCCCGCUGCCGAAUUUCUGCAAGCAGAGAAACUGA